rnacentral:rRNA from 1 species
CCUACGGGAGGCAGCAGUGGGGAAUAUUGCACAAUGGGGGAAACCCUGAUGCAGCGACGCCGCGUGAGUGAAGAAGUAUUUCGGUAUGUAAAGCUCUAUCAGCAGGGAAGAAAAUGACGGUACCUGAUUCAGCAGCCCCGGCUAACUACGUGCCAGCAGCCGCGGUAAUACGUAGGGGGCAAGCGUUAACCGGAUUUACUGGGUGUAAAGGGAGCGUAGACGGCAGCACAAGUCGGGAGUGAAAUGCCGGGGCUUAACCCCGGAACUGCUUUGGAAACUGUGCGGCUAGAGUGUAGGAGAGGUAAGUGGAAUUCCUGGUGUAGCGGUGAAAUGCGUAGAUAUCAGGAGGAACACCAGUGGCGAAGGCGGCUUACUGGACUGUAACUGACGUUGAGGUUCGAAAGCGUGGGGAGCAAACAGGAUUAGAUACCCGGGUAGUC